AUUGAACGCUGGCGGCAGGCUUAACACAUGCAAGUCGAGCGGAGCGAGGGUGCUUGCACCUUAGCUUAGCGGCGGACGGGUGAGUAAUGCUUAGGAAUCUGCCUAUUAGUGGGGGACAACAUUCCGAAAGGAAUGCUAAUACCGCAUACGCCCUACGGGGGAAAGCAGGGGAUCUUCGGACCUUGCGCUAAUAGAUGAGCCUAAGUCAGGUUAGCUAGUUGGUGGGGUAAAGGCCUACCAAGGCGACGAUCUGUAGCGGGUCUGAGAGGACGAUCCGCCACACUGGGACUGAGACACGGCCCAGACUCCUACGGGAGGCAGCAGUGGGGAAUAUUGGACAAUGGGCGCAAGCCUGAUCCAGCCAUGCCGCGUGUGUGAAGAAGGCCUUUUGGUUGUAAAGCACUUUAAGCGAGGAGGAGGCUACUUGGAUUAAUACUCUAGGAUAGUGGACGUUACUCGCAGAAUAAGCACCGGCUAACUCUGUGCCAGCCGCCGCAGUAAAAC
rnacentral:rRNA from 1 species